CCUACGGGAGGCAGCAGUGAGGAAUAUUGGUCAAUGGGCGAGAGCCUGAACCAGCCAAGUCGCGUGAGGGAGUACUGCCCUAUGGGUUGUAAACCUCUUUUGUCGGGGAGCAACAGCCGGACGUGUCCGGCUGUGAGAGUACCCGACGAAAAAGCAUCGGCUAACUCCGUGCCAGCAGCCGCGGUAAUACGGAGGAUGCGAGCGUUAUCCGGAUUUAUUGGGUUUAAAGGGUGCGCAGGCGGAUUUUUAAGUCAGCGGUAAAAUCGUGGGGCUCAACCCCAUCCAGCCGUUGAAACUGGGGAUCUAGAGUGUGCGAGAGGUAUGCGGAAUGCGUGGUGUAGCGGUGAAAUGCAUAGAUAUCACGCAGAACCCCGAUUGCGAAGGCAGCAUACCGGUGCACAACUGACGCUCAGGCACGAAAGCGUGGGUAUCGAACAGGAUUAGAUACCCUGGUAGUC
rnacentral:rRNA from 1 species